UACGGGGGGAACGAGCGUUGUUCGGAUUUACUGGGCGUAAAGGGCACGCAGGCGGGGAGACAAGUCAGAUGUGAAAACCCAUAGCUUAACUCUGGGCCUGCAUUUGAUACUGUUUCUCUUGAGUACGGGAGAGGAUGGCGGAAUUCUUGGUGUAGCGGUGAAAUGCGUAGAUAUCAAGAAGAACACCGGUGGCGAAGGCGGCCAUCUGGCCCGAUACUGACGCUCAUGUGCGAAGGCAAGGGGAGCAAAC
rnacentral:rRNA from 1 species